AGAUUGAACGCUGGCGGAAUGCUUUACACAUGCAAGUCGAACGGCAGCACGGGGGCAACCCUGGUGGCGAGUGGCGAACGGGUGAGUAAUACAUCGGAACGUGCCCAGUCGUGGGGGAUAACUACGCGAAAGCGUAGCUAAUACCGCAUACGAUCUACGGAUGAAAGCGGGGGAUCGCAAGACCUCGCGCGAUUGGAGCGGCCGAUGGCAGAUUAGGUAGUUGGUGGGUAAAGGCUCACCAAGCCGUCGAUCUGUAGCUGGUCUGAGAGGACGACCAGCCACACUGGGACUGAGACACGGCCCAGACUCCUACGGGAGGCAGCAGGUGGGAAUUUUGGACAAUGGGCGCAAGCCUGAUCCAGCCAUUCCGCGUGC
rnacentral:rRNA from 1 species